CCUGGUAAUAUUUCUCAUUAAUCUCCUUAUUUCUCAUUUCGUGGAGCAUUUUUAUUGACAAUCACGCCUCACGGCUGUAGAACAAAUCACAUUUCACAACAUUAAAAUCAAUCAUUUCACAUUUCACACGAAUACAUAUUGACCAUUCACGGCUCACGAAAAUACGCUUUCCCACCCUCGUAUGAGAACUAGGGUCUUCUUCAAGCACUUCUGCAGUAACUUCCAAUUCCAUCUCUUCAUUGGUUCAUCAGGAAAAGAAUAUCUAAGACAGUUUAUCGAUGAAAGUAAUUGUGUAAAAAUAUCAACUGUAAUCCAGUGUAAUCCGGUUUUAGCAGAACUUCUGUAUUUAUAUAAUAUUUAUUAGAACAUAAAAUGAG